rnacentral:lncRNA from 1 species
AAUGCUUUAGAGGUACAAGCAAACAAUCAAAUAUAGUACAUUGCUUUUACAACUUGAUUACGAAAAAGAAUAAAGAACUACAAUAUAUUUUACCUUUCCAACUAAUAUUAUGAUGACGCUAGACGUGUUACUAGUUCAAUCACAAAUCUUGAUGAGAAACUAUAUUUUACCCACUUGUUUGCUUGAGUUAAAAUGCAUAAUUGAUGCAAAUUGAUCACGACAUAAAGAUAGGAGAAAAGAAAAGUAAGAAUUUAUAUGCAAAAAGGUCGAAUACAUGAAUCACCACCUCUGAUCUUGCCAAUUUUCACAACAAAUAUUUCUUCUCAUCUCACAAUGUUUCCUCACCUCUCAUUCUCAUUCCUUCAAUUCACCACACAAGAAUCUUCAAUCCCCAUAUACUACCAAAAAAAAACACAAGUAAUCUGUGUAUGCAAUACCAAUAUAUUAGCUUUAUUUAGAGCCGAAUGAUCAUACCCGCACUAACACACUAUGUUUCAUUUUAAUUAAAUCGUUAUAGACACUUAUAAAACAGUAACAAAAACAUAGACAUAAGAAAGUCCUAACCUAAUCAGCAAGUUCAACUUCAUUCUUCAAAAUCAAGUCAUCCUCUAUCAUUUUUAAAUCAUAUAUCAAACAUAUUUAGUGAAUACACAAGCACUUAAUAGCUACAUUUUCAAUAUGUUGUAAUACACGAUUAUAUACCACCCUCAAAAACUACAAAUAGGAUAAUUUAAAGCACAAUUUACCUAAAACAUGGUACAUCUGGAUUGCGGUACCAGUAUAGGUACAAAAUACAGUAUAAAAAUUUCAAGAAAAAUUUUGAUGAUAUAGGAGAGAAAAAGAAAAAGAAAAAUAGGCUGUUCAAACACUACAUUUCUCUUCAACGUCAUCAGUAGAAGAGAACAUCAGCAUGUAUGCGGUGCAUAGUCAAGCAUCUUUAAAAGGGUCAAUCUAUUUCUACUAGUACAUCUGGAUUGUGGUACCAGUAUAGGUACAAAAUACAGUAUAAAAAUUUGAAGAAAAAUUUUGAUUAUAUAGAAGAGAAAAAGAGAAAGAAAAAUAGGUUGUUGGAACACUUGCAUUUCUCUUCAAGGUCAUCAGUAGAAGAGAACAUCACUAUGUAUGAGGUGCAUAGUCAAGCAUCCUUCAAAAAGGUCAAUCUAUUUCUACCGGUACAUCUAGAUUGUGGUACCAAUAUAGGUACAAAAUACAGUAUAAAAAUUUGAAGAAAAAUUUUGAUGAUAUAGGAGAGAAAAAGAGAAAGAAAAAUAGGUUGUUGGAACACUUGCAUUUCUCUUCAAGGUCAUCAGUAAAAGAGAACAUCAUCAUGCAAGCGGUGCAUAGUCAAGCAUCCUUAAAAGGGCCAAUCUACUUCUACUUAUGACACCAUAAAACACAAGAAAGAAGAUUCGUAAGUACAAAAACUGGCCAAACAAACAGGAAAUCUUGGACAUUAACUGAGCCAGACUAGAACUCACAAGGAAUCUUUGGUUUAAGCUUUUUGACAAGCAAAUCUGACAGUACUAUCUACAACAUUGCAUGCUCUCAUCCACAAUAAAAACAAAUUCGCUAUUUCAUUGUAGUCACCUUUUAUAUGGUAUUUUAUGAGAUUAUGACGAUGGCUGUGCAGGCAUGAUAAAAAAGGAGAUUCUAUAACAUUCUAACUUAAAGAAAACUNNNN